GCGGGAUCUGCGUUCGCCGCCUUCGUGUCUCGGUGCGUCUUUGUACGUCGCACGUUCGGAUAACACUUUUUCCGACGGCUGGACAUCCUUCUUGUACCUUGGCGCUAGCUGGAUGACGGGACCUCAUCAUGAUCAGUGUAUUGCUUUCCUAUGUCUACAAGAACCGUCACGGGUGGCCUGUGACAGCAAGCUUUUGUGGGCAGCCAGUGCUCUCCUACGAAGGCUGGCCUACUCUGGCAGCGGCGGCAAUCAUCUUCAAGAUUUAUCGAUGAUCACCUUUGCUGCUAUUUGUCACUCUUCUUAAUUACACUUUCUGCAUCUUUUCUAAUCUAUUAGGUAAUAAAGUAUGAGUAUGUGA